rnacentral:lncRNA from 1 species
CUCUGAUUUGCCCUGUAACCUGUCUCUGAUAGUGCUGUGACUUUAGACAGCCCUGCAGGAUAUGACUCUGAUUUAUGGAUCCUCGCAUUGCUGUGAGCUUUGGUCUCCAGUUGGGCUUUCCUUGCCUGGAUUGAAUUUUCCACAGUCAGUUCCUGAGCAUUACCAGGAUGCUAGGGGUUUUUUGGUUGCAGUUCUCUGAUGGUUUGGGACGUGCCUACGCCUUGGACCUCCUUCACAGAACAGGAUUGUUACACUUGGGUUGAGUUCUUCCAGUAAGAGACAGGAGGGUGUAGGACCUGGCUAAGGAUGACAUAAAGGUAAUAAAGACUUGUAGCCUUGGAAAGUGGAGGUAUAG